UUUACACGAGAAACCUUUUCUCGUGUGGAGGAAGUGGCACACAAAUGGAUAAGGUGGCGCAUGGGAUUAGUUGUCCAUUCAAAUUCAAACUUCAUUUGAAUUUGAAUGGCCAACCAACCAUCUUUAUCCACUCAAAUGGUGCACAUAGGUGCGGCAUGGGAAGACUUCUGCAUGGGAGAAAAUUCAUGAGAACUCGUUUCUCGUGAAUUCAAAUGGGUGCAGGU
rnacentral:lncRNA from 1 species